UUGCUUCAGUAGCACAUAUAUUAAAACUGGAAUGAUACAGAGAAGGUUAGCAUGCCCCCGCACAAAGACGACAUGCAAAUUCAUGAAGCAUUUUACACACAC